AUACAGAGACAGGUCAUUAAGGAGCAGGUAGGGGUUAGACAGUGAAUACAGAGACAGGUCAUUAAGGAGCAGGUAGGGGUUAGACAGUGAAUACAGAGACAGGUCAUUAAGGAGCAGGUAGGGGUUAGACAGUGAACACAGAGACAGGUCAUUAAGGAGCAGGUAGGGGUUAGACAAUGAAUACAGAGACAGGUCAUUAAGGAGCAGGUAGGGGUUAGACAGUGAACACAGAGCCAGGUCAUUGAGGAGCAGGUAGGGGCUAGGGGUCAUAUUGCUCUUGGAUGCCUACAGGUUAGGCUUCGCCCCUGCCCCAUUUUAUAAUGUUAUAUUUAAUAAUAUAAUCCAAGAUUAGAUAAUGUGGGUGUAGUGCAUGCAAACCAG
ensembl:lncRNA